AUUGAACGCUGGCGGCAGGCCUAACACAUGCAAGUCGAACGGUAACAGGAAACAGCUUGCUGUUUCGCUGACGAGUGGCGGACGGGUGAGUAAUGUCUGGGAAACUGCCUGAUGGAGGGGGAUAACUACUGGAAACGGUAGCUAAUACCGCAUAACGUCGCAAGACCAAAGAGGGGGACCUUCGGGCCUCUUGCCAUCGGAUGUGCCCGGAUGGGAUUAGCUAGUAGGUGGGGUAACGGCUCACCUAGGCGACGAUCCCUAGCUGGUCUGGGAGGAUGACAAGCCACACUGGAACUGAGACACGGUCCAGACGCCUACGGGAGGCAGCAGUGGGGAAUAUUGCACAAUGGGCGCAAGCCUGAUGCAGCCAUGCCGCGUGUAUGAAGAAGGCCUUCGGGUUGUAAAGUACUUUCAGCGGGGAGGAAGGGAGUAAAGUUAAUACCUUUGCUCAUUGACGUUACCCGCAGAAGAAGCACCGGCUAACUCCGUGCCAGCCGCCGCGGUAA
rnacentral:rRNA from 1 species